rnacentral:rRNA from 1 species
UACGGAGGGUGCAAGCGUUGUCCGGAAUCACUGGGCGUAAAGGGCGCGUAGGCGGCCUGGUAAGUAGGGGGUGAAAUCCUGCGGCUUAACCGCAGGGCUGCCUUCUAAACUGUCAGGCUUGAGCACGGUAGAGGCAGAUGGAAUUCCCGGUGUAGCGGUGGAAUGCGUAGAGAUCGGGAAGAACAUCAGUGGCGAAGGCGGUCUGCUGGGCCGUUGCUGACGCUGAGGCGCGACAGCGUGGGGAGCAAGCAGG